rnacentral:rRNA from 1 species
CGCACUGGUGAGUAACACGUGGAUGAUCUGCCCUUUUGUGGGGAAUACCGCUGGGAAACCGGUGACAAUACCGCAUAAGCUCGAGAGAGGAAAGCCGCAAGGCGCAGAAGGAGGAGUCCGCGGUCGAUUAGUUAGUUGGCAGGGUAAAAGCCUACCAAGACUGUGAUCGAUAGCCGGCCUGAGAGGGCACACGGCCACACUGGCACUGAAACACGGGCCAG